rnacentral:other from 1 species
AUAUGCCUGCAAUGUGCGUAAGUCUUUCAUUAUUGUCUAACCUUACUCUUUACUAAACGGGAAUCUGGAAAGUGAUUUCAGGGAUGCUGAAUCGUCUCCGAGCGAAUAGCAAAACUAAAGUCCAGGAUACCCACCUGCACACGCAGGUCUAGGCAGAUAAAAGAUAACGGCAUUAUGGGCAUAUU